UUGUGAUGUGUUUAUUUUCAAAUGGUAAUUGGAUCUAUAAAACAAGAUACUUGGAAACUGGCGGUACCAUACAAAGUCAAGGUUGGUUUUCUUUAGCAUAAGUAAUCUGACAUGACAUUCAGUUUGAGAUGCCUGAAGAAGUGCUUGCCUCAAGAAAGAAUAAAGACUAAGAGGUCCAAGAUAACCAUCCAAGAAAUUAAACUGAUGACAGCAGGCCCUGAAAAGGUCAGAAGGGAAAUUUUAAGUCAACCAGUAAUUCCAGAUUUCACUUUGGAGAGCCAUCUUCUUCCCCCAGACAAACAUAACUUUUGUGGAGGUCUCAAUAAUUUUGAACUGCAAACACUCAAUUAGUUAUUCACACAGUCUUCCAUUAUGGUUAGUUGAUUUGCAUUCAUUUUAUGUUAACACAGCCUGAAUGACUGAUUUUAAGCCAUUCCUGAUGUAUAACCAUCAAAGGAAGAGGAAGAAAUCUCAUAAUUUUAAAUAUGCAUAGAGAUCCCUGUGUAGCUUUAAAAUGAUGGCUGUUUUAUGGUGUCAUCCAUUGUAUAUUUCAGCAUCAUUAGCAGAAAAGGUCAAGUAAUAUUUACUUACAUUAGACAGGAACCUCAUGAAACUAUCACCAUGAAACUAUUUCUGAGACUCCAAAACUGAUUCAUGUGCAAUAUUGGUUCAUUCAUUGUUCAAUGAAAGCAUAAAAACUGCUUUACAGUUCCAGCUUGGCACUUGUCCUCAUGUAUAGAUCCUUUGUUUAGGCAAAACUAAUUUAAUUGAAUAAGAAGCUCCAUUCUUCUUCAUGCAGACAAUAUUAUAAAAUUUAAAAUAAAAUUAUAAAAUGUGUUUGAGAGAUUGAAAGUUCAUUAGCUUUGUCCUUAAAAUUAAUGUGCUAUAUAUAAUAAAUAUUAGUCUGCUUUCUGUGCAGAGAAACAAUCUAAUUUUUAGCUUGCCUUAUUUUUUUGCAAUUUUGAACUCAGGUCAAAAACUCAGUUGGUAUUUGGUUUGUUCAGAGGUGAAAAUGUCACAUCCAAUAAACAGGAGAAGAAUCAUCAUAAUUCUAAAUAUUUGUUUCUCAGUUUAUCAUAGAUGACUUAUUAAUAUAUAUAUGUGGAAAUUUGCUAGAUUAUUAUAUUUAGCACCUUGUAUAGACAAGUUGGCUAUUCAAAACCUUUAUGGCAAAUCCAAACUUCCUUAACCGAGACAUUUAAUGAGAUAAUUGCGAGAAAAAAUAUUCCCUGUUUUAUUUGAGGAUAAAAUUUCUGAUUUUAGAAAGAGCCCUGAAAUACUUCAGUCCUUAAAAGUUAUUUUAAUGUAUUCACUGUUAGACUCCUUGUUAACCUUUUCUCAUUUGAGAUACUCCCUCCCAUCCUCUCCAUCAUUAUACUUUUUGUCAGAAUUUUGCUGAAGUAGAUUUGGUAAAACUCAUUGUAUAAAUAUGGAAGAAAAAUUCUCCCUAUUGAGUACAAUUUUGCUUUAUAACUAAUUUUAGAUUCUGAUAAGAGGAAAAUCUAUGCAAGAUUCCUACCAAUAAAAUGGCACCUAGUACUAAA